rnacentral:rRNA from 1 species
GACGAACGCUGGCGGCGUGCUUAACACAUGCAAGUCGAACGGAAAGGCCCUGCUUUUGUGGGGUGCUCGAGUGGCGAACGGGUGAGUAACACGUGAGUAACCUGCCCUUGACUUUGGGAUAACUUCAGGAAACUGGGGCUAAUACCGGAUAGGAGCUCCUGCUGCAUGGUGGGGGUUGGAAAGUUUCGGCGGUUGGGGUUGGACUCGCGGCUUAUCAGCUUGUUGGUGGGGUAGUGGCUUACCAAGGCUUUGACGGGUAGCCGGCCUGAGAGGGUGACCGGCCACAUGGGGACUGAGAUACGGCCCAGAGUCGUACGGGAGGCAGCGGUAGGGAGUAUUGCACGAUGGGCCGAAGCCUGAUGGAGCAACGCCGCGUGCGGGAUGACGGCCUUCGGGUUGUGAACCGCUUUCGCCUGUGACGAUGCGUGGGUGACGGUAAUGGAUAAAGAAGCACCGGCUAACUACGUG